rnacentral:lncRNA from 1 species
CAUUGGCAGCAGAGAACUGGAAGGAGAGACGACCAAAGGAGGAGUUGGCUUUAGGGGUGACCAGAGAGAUAUACCUGCUGGAGCGCGUGCUACAGGACCUGAGUCUGAGCUCCAACCCAGAGCUGUCCGGUCGAGUGCCUGUCAGGACCACAGUACUCUUCAUGACAGACUGGAUGUAGUGGAGAAGCGUGUAGAGGACACAGUCCAGAAGCUAGAGGCUGAGCUGGCUGUGCUACUGGAUGCCAUAGAGGCCCCUGAGUGGAGCCCCCUGCUGGAAACUGCUGGAAAACCUGUGGUGGACAUCCUGGACGGCCAGGGACUGGGAGAAGGUGGCGACUCCUGAGAGAGGAGAGCAGAGAUCUCUGUUGGGUGGCUAUGCUACUUCACUCUGCCCUGAUGAGGGUGCACCUGGCAAGGACAGACAAUGAAAGACACUUUAAUGUACAAUCUUUGUUUUUCUGGAGUUGGAAGUGUACACAAACUGUAUAAAACAAGCCCUUUAAAGAGUAAACACAGGCUUAGUAUGUAUUCUGUGCAACAGUUGAUAGAUCCCGACACUAAAGCUUACUUGUCUGCAUAAUACACUCCUCUAAUCCUCAGACACUCUCAUCCUUUCUUCCUUCUUAGACUAAACCUGAAUCCCUACACAACACACAAGGGUAACCGUCUCAGCCUCUCAGGAUGGUUACAGUUCUAAACAAUUGAUACUUUGGUUUUGUCUAGUAAUGCAUUCUGUUCUAUGUGGGAUUGUGUCCCUUUCUCGUCCCAUGCCUCUGUUCCACCCCCUGGUGCCAGUUGAGAGCUACACAUGCAGCACCGAGCCACAAGGUAGGCCGUGCCCUUUACCACAGAUCAGGAAUCAGGUUACACAACCCCUAUCCUAAACCAUUAGGGAGGCUUGAAAUAAUACCCAACCUUGUAUCAGUGGUUAAGGGCAACUAAUAAUCUCAAUGUGGAUGAAUGAUGAAAACCAAUAGAGAGUACUGGAAGGAAUUUAUUUAUCAAAGCAGUUAAAGCAACAUGUUUCAAUACACAGAGCAGUUUGAAUAGGUACAGUACAAGGCUUCCACUGAGACCCAGGCUAGUUGCAAGUGUAUUUAUUUAGUCCCCAUAAAAAUCCUACAGAACAUGUUCAAAAUCGAAACAAAGAGGAGAGUGGUCAUAGAUUUUGUUUUCUCAAAAAUGGACACUACAUUACUAAAUGUUGCUACAAAGAUAAGACAGUACUAUUAUCUGUGAGAGCUUUAAUCCUUAUCCAGUUGAUGGGAAAAGUACUGUGGUGAUUGGUCACUCGUUCUAUCACAACGCUGUUUGAAACACCCAGGUAAAUAUACUUACAACAAUAUUAUCCAAUAAACUAGCAUGUAAACACAAUGGUCCAAACAUAUGAAAGAUUUUUGGGGGUUAGGCAAGCAACAUCCGACCAGGAAUGGAGGUGCAUUUUAAAUGAUAAUCAAGGGAAUGACAUCGGGCUACAAUAUUGUUGAACUUAGAAAUAAAACGACCGAGCAGGGUUUCCAUUAAAAUCGAUGACUAUUCAUUACAAACAAUCAACACAAUCGCAUGGCCAUUUCUAGCACUGGAGACUGAACAUCCAGUCAAGCUUUUUCAUCUAGUCGUCAGUAGUGAGGACAAUGUAAAGACAUGUCGAAGAGCAGUAUUUAAGACUUUUCACAUAGCUACGGGCAGACUCACACAAUGCCCCAAACCCUCGGCCUUAUCCCUUUCCCAUAUACAUAACAAAGCACAGAAAACCUAAACUUACCCACAUUGGAGCAUAGGAGGGCAUAGAUACUGACUUAUUAAAUCAUCCACUUAAAGAAAAGCCUGUGCACUUGGAACAUAUUCUUAAAACAAUCUACGGGAUGCCAAAAGUCACUGCAUACAGUCUAAAAUAUCAUGGCAUCCAUAUAACAAUGGGAAUAAAUUAUUUGUACAGUCGUAGGACUUGAAAUCUUUUUUUUUUUUUUUUAAGCAAACCUAGACAUCACAUAGACAGGCAAGCAGGACAGGGCUACACUGAUUAUAUGAGGCCUCUCCUCUGUCAAUCAUCAGAACACAGGUGAACAUCAAGGUAUUCUACUGCCUGAAGCUUGCAUGUGCACAUACUGUAAGCCACCCACAAACCCUAGCGUUUGGCUCUCCUACAAAAUCUGCUUUAAACUGUAAAUAGAGGUGCAUGCAAAAAUGCAGGGUUCGAGACGCUAUGGGCGUAACUAAUGCGCUUAUUUUCAUAGGAAAUCAGAUUUCCCCCCCAUAUAAUUGAAUAAUAUUUUAUUUCUCCCCAAAAACAUUCCUUUAUAUAUAAUCACAAUAAAUGUUCGUAUACAAAUGAUAGUAUUUUCACAGAAGGAACAGUGGUUAUAUGCGCUACAGAGAGGAAACACAUUCACACACAAAGUUCUUAGAAAUGGCAAUGCAAAUGGUAGAAAAGCUUUGGCAUAUCUGCCUACAAGUUGUGCCUGCACACUUGGAAAUAAAAUGAGUACAACAGUGUAUGAAUGUUUGGCUUCAUACUACUCUUAAUUUAGUAACAUGUACGUUUAGUAAGCAGUCCCACAUAAAACUGUGGAGCGAGGUUAGGCUAUUUACACCUUACUUUGUUAGGCCUUAGGGUUUUAAGGUGGACAAUGCUACAUGUUCCCAGAUGUCCAGGCUGAGAGUAAUGGCACCACCUUAAAAUGUACCACAACUAAUAAUACUGCCCCGGGAUCAUUUUUCAUACAGGAGUGAUCGAGACAAUCAAAUGAAAGACGAUUGUUAAAAUGUCACGGUCAUCUUAGUCUAAUAAGGGAUUAUGUUCAACUACGAGAUUCUUCUGUAGCUAUUCAAUAGAAGCUGAUCAUGUCUGAUCCAUGGACAAAGAAAGACUAGAACAGGCAAAGCCUCCCAUACCACGUCAAUUUAACUAAACCUUUACGGGGUACGCUCAAUAUGAUUCUUCUUCUAUGGUCUGAUCCCCUGGUAGCGACAAUGUUUAUGUUUAACGUAUAAGAACUCAAGCAGUACGAGCAUGUAACCCCCAGUGGAGCCGUGGGAUAAUAGAACAGCGUCUUGGCAACAGUCACAGAGAUCGACCGUGAGGGAAACCUUCCAUUUACACCACAGAUGUACUAAGUCCCUCUAACUGACAGGGCAUUUGAAAAAACGAACAAUGUCUGGAAAAAAGGUUUCGUUGGAGGAGCGUAAAUCACCGUAGUAAAAAUCAAACCAGCAUGCUGAUGCAUAAUAUAGUCACAAUUAACGUGUAAUGAAUGGCUAUUGAUUAACAAUCAACACCACUUCAAAAUGGUUCUACGUUAUCGGAUUGAACUAGUGAUUUAUUUGAAAUUGCAAAACCUCCUUGUCCCGAAUGGCCCAUACUGUAAUGUAUGUAUCUAUUAGAAGACUCACUUACUGUGACUGGAAACAACAUUUACCCUCCUCUAAAAGUUUCUAUCCACUGCACUACCUCAGGAAUAGAAUUACAUAGAACAUAGUAAUAUAAUAGUUAUUCUAUGUCUAUGUGCACUGCACUGUAUAUUGGCAUUGUGAUACUUGAACAAAUAUAUACUAUAAUUGAAAUGAAAGGCAUUUGGAGAAGGUAACCGGACAACAGUAAUAGUCGUUCAGAAUAGGAGGAGUACACAGAGAGGAGAGGGAUUGCACGAGCUACACAGGCAAAGAAAACUAAGAGUGUCUAACGCCGUUGAAUAAUUCAGUAUGUGAGUUUGCAGAGGUAGCUGCAUCUACUCGAGGCUAAAAGAGCGGGAACGCAAAAAAAUACAAAUAUUUCUUUCAAAAC